GGUAAUUCACCUAAAAACAAGCACGCUUUUCUUCCGGUGAAGAAGUUGUUAAAAAGCAAACAAGGACUGGUUAAAAGCUGUGUGAGAGACAGUUAAGCCGCAUGGCAGUGAGCUUCUCAAGAUACCUUCGAUUGGUUUUUAGAAAGGGAUAGACCAUCUGAAUCUGACCCUAGCGGUCAGUGGCGAGCCAACCGCAGAAGUGAACGGAUCAAGAGCCCGGUGUGGCCAGCCGUGGCAUCUUUGGAACCAGCAUCAUCCUGUGCCUUCAUUUGUGAUACAGAUACAUAAACCUACCCGGGUAGUGAAAAGAACAUACUCUACGAAACACACACACAUAUCA